UCCCUGGUGGUCUAGUGGUUAGGACUUGGCACUGUCACUGCUAUGGCCCAGGUUCAACCCCUGGUUGGGGAA